UACGUAGGGUGCGAGCGUGUCCGGAUUUAUUGGGCGUAAAGGGCUCGUAGGCGGCCUGUCGCGUCGGGGAGUGAAAGCCCACUGCUUAACGGUGGGUCUGCUUCCGGUACGGGCGGGCUGGAGUAUGGCAGGGGAGACUGGAAUUCCUGGUGUAGCGGUGGAAUGCGCAGAUAUCAGGAGGAACACCGGUGGCGAAGGCGGGUCUCUGGGCCAUUACUGACGCUGAGGAGCGAAAGCGUGGGGAGCGAACGGGAUUAGACUAC
rnacentral:rRNA from 1 species